rnacentral:rRNA from 1 species
UACGAAGGGGGCUAGCGUUGUUCGGAAUUACUGGGCGUAAAGGGCGCGCAGGCGGUCGUUCAAGUCGAGUGUGAAAGCCCCCGGCUCAACUGGGGAGGGUCACUCGAUACUGAUCGACUGGAAGGCAGGAGAGGGAAGCGGAAUUCCCGGUGUAGUGGUGAAAUGCGUAGAUAUCGGGAGGAACACCAGUGGCGAAGGCGGCCCCCUGGUUGGAUACUGACGCUGAGACGCGAAAGCGUGGGGAGCAAACAGG